AGAUCUGGAACUUUUUAACAAGACUGGGACGGAUUAUCUGCUUGAGAGGAGCUCCGCCUGCAGCUUAACCAGCACAUAUGAAUGAGAUUAGUGAUGGGAACUCCAGCUCUUAGGGGGACCUGGAUCAUCUGGCUCA